rnacentral:lncRNA from 1 species
CAGACUCUGUCUCAAAACAAAAACAAACCCCCCCCAAAAAAGUAGUUUAUAAUAAUAUUUGUCAGGAGUUCAAUACCAGCCUGGCCAAAAUGGUGAAACCAUGUCUACCAAAAGUACAAAAUUUAGCUGGGCGUGGUGGCAGGUUCCUGUAGUCCCAGCUACUCAGGAGGCUGAGGCGGAAGAAAGAAUGACAACUGGACUCCUUCUCACCUCUCUCAAAAAGUGGAUUUUCUCAACCCUGAUCUUAUUUCCUGUGAAUAAUGUGCAUUGAAACCUGCAUUCGGAGACCACCUGCUCAAUCCAAUCUCCAGGAGCUUCUAACAGGCAUUAAAUGGGAAUAGAACCUCUUUCAAGGGCCAGAAAGAUCACUUCUUAGAGGAAAAUUAAUCCUUAAUAGGAAACACAUCCUGAGGCUGCUGGGGGCCUGGGGAAUACAAGGUCUCUGGGUGAUGCUUGAAUCAGUUUUCACACACAAACGCACAUGUGCACACACACACACACACACUCCCCCUGCCUCAGAUUGUUUAAAAGCUUAUAGAGCUAUAAGAGUUAGGAGUCACACAUAGAGCCCCAGGAUCUCAUUUCAUGUGCUACCUUAAAAGUCAGUGGGGAGUGAAAUAGAAAAACUUUGCCAUAGGACAAGACACAGCCAUGUAGAGCCAUGGGAAGGAAAUGGAAAAGACCAUAGCCAGACAGACAUGUGAAUGUGGAGUCUGAAGAGAAACAAAAUGGCAAAGCGCCAACACUUUGGAGAAUAAAUGAUGCCUUUUAGGCCCCAGAGCCUGGGACAGCAUUAAUGGUUUAUGGAAACGCCACCGUGCCAGUAAUGGAUAUUGUCAAAACUGGGUUUGAUUUAGUGGUAGAACAGUUACUAAAUGCUAUGGUCAUUUUUAGCAUAAGCUUUAAUAUAGAUAGAUAGAGAUAGCGAUAAUACAUAGAUAUAGAUAUAUACAUAGAUAUAGAGAUAUACAUAGAUAUGGAUAGACAUAGAUAUAUAGAUGGAUAUAGAUAGAUAUAAAUAUAUAGAUAGAUAUAAAUAUAUACAUAGAGAUAAUACAUAGGUGGAUAUAUAGAUAGAUAUAUAUAGAUAUAGAUAGAUAGAUAGAUAGAUAGAUAGAUAGAUAGAUAGAUAGAUUCAAAGACAAGGUCAUUAUCCCAACACCUCUUUAGAAAACAGGACCAUAUGAUUGUAAAGGGAGAUAGUAUUUUUAUUAUUUAAAAUUCAUUUUCAGAUACUAUUUAGGCCUGUGUCUUCAAAUAGCUUCCUUUCAUCUUCCCACACUCAUAUCCUAUCAUUAUUCUAUGUGAAUGUGUUUUGAGAUCCAUAUUGAGAGGCUACCUACGUGAUCCAACUCCAAAAACCUCUCGUAGACAUUAAGGAAUCAAAAUACUGCUUCUCUAAGGUGAUGGUAAGCUCAUUUUUAUAGGAAAAUAGAAGCUUACUAAAUCUGCUGAAACAACUGGUAUUUUCAGUCCUCAUUUAGUUUCUAGGGAGAAGGUCAUCUCUUGCUGACUAUUGCAAAACUAUGCCAGAGGUAACAGAAAUGUUGUGUCUAUUGAAAUUUAGUUCCCAGAGAAGGGUCUUAAAACUAUUCAUUAGUUUUUGUCUUUAUAUUUUUUGUUGCUUUUUCUUAUUUAUUUAGGCUGUUUAGGAAAAAAUAAAGCUUCCAUCAUGUAUAAGCCCAGCAUUUUAGAGGCCUUUGCUGUAAAAUACCAUACAAGUGGGCAAUCUUCCAGAAAUUUUCAACACCUUUUGUUGAAGAGUGGGCAUGUAAUCACACUGGCUUCGUGUUUUGAGUGGCCUGCAAAGAGGAAAUUUCCCCUUCUCUCCUCUCUCCUUUCUCUCAUCUCUUUCUCAUUUUUCCUUUUGGAUUAUCAUCAUGCAGUCUUCGUGUGCCGCUCAUUUAUUCAACAAUCUGUAUACAUUUAACAUCCAAUGAUUAAUGAUUUCCCUGACAAAUUUAAGGAGACAAUUGCACUAAAACUCCUCUGAUAUCUAUAGCAUAUUUAAAAGUCUCAUUUAGGCCGACUGUAGUGGCUCACGCCUGUAAUCCUAGCACUUUGGGAGUGUGAGGUGUGAAUCACUUGAGGCCAGGAGUUCGAGACCAGCCUGGUCAACAUCGUGAAACCUCGUCUCCACUAAAAAUACAAAAAUUAGCCGGGUGUGGUGGUGGGUGCCUGUAAUAUCAACUACUCAGGAGGCUGAGACAGAAGAAUCACUUGCACCUGAGAGGAGGAGGUUGCAGAGCCAAGGUUGUGCCACUACACUCCAGCCUGGGCUACAGACCAAGACUCUGUCUCAAAAUAAAUAAAUAAAUAAAUAAAUGUCUAAUUUAACAGUAACAUCCUUGGCUUUUGAUGCUUUUUUAUUGCCUUAUUAUUAUUAUUUUUUGCAUCAACUCAGGAUCAGCUGCAAUCUUUUCUGCUUCUUCUCUGGUUCUCCAUAUCUGUGGGCUUCCCUGGCUCCUUUUGAAGGGAAGCAUGGUAAUGAGAGAGGGUAAUGUACAAAGGUCAGAAUGUGCCCUUUUUGCUCUGGCAAGCCAAAAAUGUUAACGUGACUGGUGGUGCUAAAAAGCAAGCUCCCAAAUUGGCCUGUUAAUCUUCACUGGUCACGUUUGAGGAAUUUUC